GACGAAAGUCUGACGGAGCAACGCCGCGUGAGUGAAGAAGGUUUUCGGAUCGUAAAACUCUGUUUUCAGGGACGAAUGUGCAAUAUGUGAAUAAUGUGUUGUAAUGACGGUACCUGACAAGAAAGCCACGGCUAACUACGUGCCAGCAGCCGCGGUAAUACGUAGGUGGCAAGCGUUGUCCGGAAUUAUUGGGCGUAAAGCGCGCGCAGGUGGGAUAAUAAGUCUGAUGUUAAAGUUCGGGGCUCAACCCCGUGAAGCAUUGGAAACUAUUAUUCUUGAGUGCAGGAGAGGAAAGUGGAAUUCCUAGUGUAGCGGUGAAAUGCGUAGAUAUUAGGAGGAACACCAGUGGCGAAGGCGACUUUCUGGACUGUGUCUGACACUGAGGCGCGAAAGCCAGGGUAGUGAACGGGAUUAGAUACCCCGGUAAUCCUGGCCGUAAACGAUGGGUACUAGGUGUUGGGGGUAUCGACCCCUCCAGUGCCGGAGUUAACGCAAUAAGUACCCCGCCUGGGGAGUA
rnacentral:rRNA from 1 species